UUUGUUUAUUCGUUUCUUCUAGAAAACCUUAGAUGAGAGCAAUACUUGGCUGCCUUGGAUCCCCUGAUGACGAAGCACUGCGGAUCCGGCCACUGUCUUUCGAAAACCUUAGAUGAGAGCAAUACUUGGCUGCCUUGGAUCCCCUGAUGACGAAGCACUGCGGAUCCGGCCACUGUCUUUCGAAAACCUUAGAUGAGAGCAAUACUUGGCUGCCUUGGAUCCCCUGAUGACGAAGCACUGCGGAUCCGGCCACUGUCUUUCGAAAACCUUAGAUGAGAGCAAUACUUGGCUGCCUUGGAUCCCCUGAUGACGAAGCACUGCGGAUCCGGCCACUGUCUUUCGAAAACCUUAGAUGAGAGCAAUACUUGGCUGCCUUGGAUCCCCUGAUGACGAAGCACUGCGGAUCCGGCCACUGUCUUUCGAAAACCUUAGAUGAGAGCAAUACUUGGCUGCCUUGGAUCCCCUGAUGACGAAGCACUGCGGAUCCGGCCACUGUCUUUCGAAAACCUUAGAUGAGAGCAAUACUUGGCUGCCUUGGAUCCCCUGAUGACGAAGCACUGCGGAUCCGGCCACUGUCUUUCGAAAACCUUAGAUGAGAGCAAUACUUGGCUGCCUUGGAUCCCCUGAUGACGAAGCACUGCGGAUCCGGCCACUGUCUUUCGAAAACCUUAGAUGAGAGCAAUACUUGGCUGCCUUGGAUCCCCUGAUGACGAAGCACUGCGGAUCCGGCCACUGUCUUUCGAAAACCUUAGAUGAGAGCAAUACUUGGCUGCCUUGGAUCCCCUGAUGACGAAGCACUGCGGAUCCGGCCACUGUCUUUCGGUAUGCAAGUUCCUCUUGGGUAAGCUUUGGAAAUUCGCGAUAGAGAGCUCUGGCAGCAGCACUCGGAUGUCAAUUUACUGAACGAUUUUAUUGGCAUUCCGGGCAUAUCUUAAGGUGCUAUCGAUGCACUGAGUAGUACGGGAGACGCCAAAUUACCGCAGGGCGAGAACAGUGGUACGAAUUCUGUGCAGCUCUUUCGGGGCCACUGAUGGAACGGUUUGUUUAUUCGUUUCUUCUAGAAAACCUUAGAUGAGAGCAAUACUUGGCUGCCUUGGAUCCCCUGAUGACGAAGCACUGCGGAUCCGGCCACUGUCUUUCGGUAUGCAAGUUCCUCUUGGAAAACCUUAGAUGAGAGCAAUACUUGGCUGCCUUGGAUCCCCUGAUGACGAAGCACUGCGGAUCCGGCCACUGUCUUUCGGUAUGCAAGUUCCUC
rnacentral:lncRNA from 1 species